CCUCAGGGCCAGCGUGCACAGAGUGGGCGCAGUAGCCUGAGCUUUGCUCAAGAAGGUCUCCAGACCUGCAGAGAGAACUAGAUGCCAAACACCAGAGGCUCACACACACUCACUCAUGCACACACACACAACAGGCUCACACAAUCCUCUCUACACACUCACUAAUGGACACACAUGCACACACACACUCAUAUACAUACACACGCACACCAGGCGCACACAAUCCUCUCUACACACUCAUGAACACACAUGCACACACACACUCAUAUACAUACACACGCACACCAGGCUCACACCAUCCUCUCUACACACUCAUGGACACACAUGCACACACACACUCAUAUACAUACACACGUACGCCAGGCUCACACAAUCCUCUCUACACACUCAUGAACACACAUGCACACACACACUCAUAUACAUACGCACGCACACCAGGCUCACACAAUCCUCUCUACACACUCAUGGACACACAUGCACACACACACUCAUAUACAUAUGCACUCACACCAGGCUCACCAUCCUCUCUACACACUCACUCAUGUACACACAUGCACACACACAUACAUACACACGCACACCAGGCUCACACCAUCCUCUCUACACACUCAUGGACACACAUGCACACACACACUCAUAUACAUACACACGCACACCAGGCUCACACAAUCUUCUCUACACACUCACUCAUGAACACACAUGCACACACAGACUCAUAUACAUACACACACCAGGCUCACACCAUCCUCUCUACACACUCAUGGACACACAUGCACACACACACUCAUACAUACACACGCACACCAGGCUCACACCAUCCUCUCUACACACUCAUGGACACA
rnacentral:lncRNA from 1 species